rnacentral:lncRNA from 1 species
UACAAACUCAUUCAAAUAUUACAUACAAAGGAUAUCUUCACUUCAUUUGCAGUGUUAGAACUAGUUUAAGAUUCAGUGGAAAUGUAAGGAAUAAAAGCAAGAAAAAAGUCUUUAAAUUAUUAGUGGAAAUAUAUUAUUAAUGGAAAUACAUGAUUAUUUUUUUCCACAUUUCAGAAAACACUUGCAAAUAACUGGGUUCUGUGUUCAGUACUCAUCUUCCAUGAAGAAGACUUUUGCAUACACUCAGAAGGCACUUGAAAUUCCCAGAGGUCAGGACGUCUGAGGAGGAGGGACUGUUUAUCAGCUAGGUAGUAACAUGUUUGUUUUUAAUAAGUGUGAUAUGAAUAUAAAUUCGAACAGCCAUAAAGCAUUAAGAUGCAAAAUCUUAGCUAGGCAUGCUAACUGAAGGGCUGCAAAGCUGGAUUACAAGAAAUCCUUCACGUCGCUGCCACCAUUACUCAUCAUCUCCACCACAGAGGAGCAGGAGUGCCUUCCUGUAGUCCCCAGAUGUAUCUUUCUGAAUCAUCUGAUACAACGAUUUCGCAAAAUUCUUUCUGAAUUCAUGUCUAAUAUCCAACAGGUCGAUUUCACUUCUUGAAACCAUGACUCUGAUCAGGGUAUCAUCAUCAGUGCCAGCCCCUUUCAUGGAAUAAUACAAAGUUUCAGCAAAAUAAGCAGGCACACUUCGGAUGCACUUCACAACUGCCAAAAGCAACUUCUCCAAAUCACCAGAGGUUUCACGGUCAAUGGUUUCUUCAAUUUGAAAGCCAGAAAUAGUCAUGUAUUUGUCAAACACCCUCCUCAAAUGAGAAACACUUCGAGUUCCCAAGAUAGUGAUGAAUGUUUCUUCAUCUGUUCCCCAUUUUAGCUCCCCAGCUCUAAACAAGACCUGAGCAUCCUUCUCAACAAGAGCCUCGUCAACUCUGCCAUCAGGAUCUCUAUUUGCCUGCAGCAGGACCACCAGCAGUCUCUGAAAAUGGCCUGAUGUCUCUCCUGUGAUCUUAUCCUCCAAGUUGGCCUCAUACUCUUGCAUAUAAACCUGUUUAAUAUUCUGCACUUCAGCAGGUGUUCUGGAGGCAAGAAUUUCAGUCAACACUUUCUCAUUGGUUCCUGCUCCCUUGAUUGCAUGCUUCAGUGCAUGAGCAUCAAAAAUACGUGCUGGUCUCAUCAAAGAUACCAUCAGUGUUUCAAACUUGCCAGUAAGUUCUGAUUUCAGGUCAUCCACAAGAUCCCUGCCAAACAGUGUUUUAAAAGCAGAUGCAAUUUCUUGACGUUGAGCAUUAUUUCUGCUGGUAAGGAUCUUCAGAAUUGUCUCUUCAUCAGUCCCCAUUCCCUUCAUGGCCUUGCGAAGGGCUUCUGCAUCAGCUCUGGCAUCAAAAGGAGAGAAUGCUGUCACGGUGCCUCUUGUAUACUUCGCCAUCUCCGCGGUUCGCCGGGUCGGGGCUGGAGUCGAAUCUGAGUCGCGAGCGUCCGCCGAGCCGCCGCCGCCUCCGAGAGCCGCAGGGAGAGCCGAGUGAGACGCAGAAAAUGAAGCGAGCUCCGGCCCCGCCGCUGCCUGCUCCACCCGGGGGCCGGGCCAGGGACCGCCCCGGGCGGGCGGAGAGCCACGGCCGCCUCCAGCGGGCGGUGGCCGCGGUGUGCCCGGCCCGGGGCCCCGCGAGCUGCGGCCGCAAGGCGGGGAUCGCCCCGGGGUGGGCAGCGCCGUGAGCUCGGACGCGGGACUCCCUGUGAGGGCUUUCACUUUUGCGACGGCUAACAGGAGGAGCGCUUCAGGAGCCCAAGUUGCCUCCACACAGAGGAGGCGGGCUGCGCGGCUGUUCCAUUAGCAGCUCCCUCAGCUGCUCCCUCACCCGCACCGAUGCGAUCCAGCUGGGCGUUAGGCGCAAGGAGGAAAAGUACAACACAAACGGAAUCUAGCGCCGUUGCCAAAAUAAGACGCUAUCAUCUCCUUACGUGAGGUUUCUAACGUGCUGUGGUCGUGUUCGUCUUAAAGCCAGUCACGUUUUUCUUCAGAAAACACCAACUUUACUGAUCGUGGGAUUAAUUUAAAUGUUCCGUCCGUCAUUUCUUGUUCCAGUGCCCAUAACGUUCAGGAAAAACAUGAAAACCACCCAGCUGGCUUUAUCUGUAGGACCAGGGGCCAAAUGGUUGCAGUAAAUGCCCUGAUUUCCUAAGCAGAGCCUGAUUUUCUUCUAAUCUGUUGAAGCGGUGGCACUCUACACAUGCUGCAAGGUGCGUGAAGGGAAUAGUGAGUUGCUCAUCACAUACGUCUAAAAAUGUACACACGGAUGAGAUGUAGGGUCAGGGCUUUCAAGGAAACACCGAGUUAUACAGUGGUUCCAAAAAUCAUAGCUAAAUUCAGACUUACUGCUUUCAGGUUAAGCACAACUGAGCUUGCCCACACCCAUCCCUUUGUGGGAAAGCACAAGUCCUUUUCUCCCUCCACGUUAUAUCCAGGACAGAUACAGGUCACGCUGGGAUCACAUUUCAAGCUUUACUGUCUAGAAUGUGCACACAUGAAGGCACAAAAAAGGUGUAAGUGGGCCCUCUUUAAUGCACUCCACAAUCCUGAUGAUUAGAGGGAAGCCUGUGAAUGGGGGUUAUUGCAUUCUGAGUGCCAAAAGCCACAGGUGUGAGCACAGCCAAAGGGAAUUCAAACUUCGUUGGUGACUCAGCCAUGCGAUAAGGAGCAGCUAUUGAGCAAUGAGAAAUUUUUGAAAGGUUCUAUCAGCAUUAUUUGACCUAUUAGUCAGGUAUCUAGAAACUAGCAAAGCUCUAGUCCUCUUCACUUUGAAAUAGGUUAGUAAUACCUUUGUUUCAGCAAAUGCACAGAUACAUUUAUGUCAUUAAGGACACUGUAUCUAUUAGGCUUUACAAGUAAUAAAAGCAGCCUUUAAAUAAUUUAGAAAAAGUUGCAUGUUGGUCUCACACGUUACUUAGCAAUAGCAUCUGACCAGCUAGAAAGUCACCACACCACCUCAGGAAGACGGCAGUCCCAGCUCUCCUUCCCACCCCUGUGCUGCAGCAAGCCCCUCCUGGCUCCCACAGAGCUGCAAUGCACGCUUGGAAUUCUUGGCUUUCCACAACACCAAGCAUGGCUUAGACUAGGCAAUAUGACACCAAAUUUCUGCUAGGCUAAUGAAGGAGUUGCAAAACUGUUAUGCCUGCAAUAAUACAUGUUAAAAAAAGGAAAAAGAUGGUACUCCUUCCCAGCUUUUCUCAUAUAUUCUGAGCUAGGAGGAUAGAUUUUUUUUUAAUUAUAUGUCUUUUGAUUCCUAUACUUUAUUUAAUAUCUUCACUAAUCUAUGCUCCCAAAUAUGAGGAAAGUAUCAAAUAGCAUGAGAUGCCUUUACUUCCAUUUCAUCCAUAAACAUCAUGUUGGAGGCUGUGGAUCUGGGAGCAAAUUAAGACAUUGUUCUGCAGUGUCUUUGUGUAUGCUCUGCUUCUCACAUAUCAUGGAGGAAGUUCACCAUCAUUCUUUUCAAGGUAUUUGAGGUCAUUUUCAUCUCUCCUACCUUUGAGCAGCUUACACAAAGUACCUCGUUGUUCUGUCCUGUGUGCAGGCUCACACACAGCCAAAGAUGAGGUACUGUUCAACCAAACAAAGAUACCCUCUGGCUUUCAAAUUCAUGAAGAACAGGAAAAAGAAUCUCGGAUGCAAGAACAGAGCACUUUCCCCUCUCUGGAGGGGUCUGAAAUGCAUGCUGCAAGAUGAACUGGGACUCCAAUGGUGGAAAAGGUUAAACUGAGCAUAAAAGAGUGCCUUGUUGCCAGCAGAUAAAGUUAGGAAUAAAACCUUCUCCAGUUAAAACUAAAAUGUUAGCAAGAUUUGAUUAAGCAAGUAAAUAUUUGCAUAACUUCAUGGAGUGAGUGGGCAUCGAGGAGUUUUGCAACAGAAUUAUUAAUGAUUUGCCAGUCUAUUUGCCAAGAGCAGAUUUCCAAAAAACUCUCCUAAUUACAGGAUUUUACUCUGUGUUGAUUUGAAUGCAAAGGUGAAAAUAGCCAUAUCAACAAAUCCAGAAUGAACGUAAAGAUAUGAACGUACAGCUAGAAGGGAAUGCAAAUCACAUUGAUUACCUUUGGUAGAAAAAGGAUUAAGUCAGGCUGGAAGAGUUACAGAUGGUGACUCCUAACAUUAGAACAUUUUUGGCUACUGUGGGCAAGUGUUUAACCUAGCUGCUGUUCUAGUAUUAAAUAACAUGCACCUAUAAACAACAAAUAAGAUUUGUCUUAUUUUUUACAUGACCAAAAGACACAUAAGGUGAAAGCAGUCUUUUCCCCUCCUUCAACCACUUACCAGGACGUAGCAGUCUGCUCCCCAGUGCUGCUGCUCCUGGCACAAGGUAAUUUCAAUCCUUCCUUAGCACAGAGCUGUAAACACCUGGAAUGACAGAAAACAAUCACAAUAAUGUGCUUCAAAGUAAGGGUCUUAUCCAUACAGAGUGAAAUUCUGGAGUUCGUCUCAAAAUCAUGCUUUCAAAGUGCAAAAAAUGCUGGAAUACCUCACUGAGGUGGAGCGUGCUUUGGUUCAGCAACCUGAAAACCAAAGUAACCUCAGAAGCACAGACUACAUUUGCAACCUCACAUUUCUUCAGGAGGCAAAGAUGGG